AUACCAUGUUGAGGACGAGGGAACAUAUUAGUUCUUUGAAUUCAAGGAGUGAAGUAAAUACUGUGUCUAUCAUGCUGUUGUACUUAUUCCCAUAUGACUUUCGUGCAGACUGAUGGAAGAUACCAACCUCCUAUUCCAGUUGAUCAAGUAAAACCUUUAAAUGAAUAUGAAGAGGAAGGAGAAGGCUCACCAAGGAUGCGAGGAAGAGGGCGUGGGCGUGGUCGUGGAAGGGGCAGGGGUAGAGGUAUUGCCAA